CAGUGGUACUCAAUCGACCCAUUUCAAAAAAUUCCCUAGCUUAAUCAGAUUUUAGUAAAAGCUGUCUCAGCAGUAAUCGAAUUAGCUUCAUAGCGACAUGAGGUGAUACUUUGUCCUCAAGAGAAAUAAAAAGAUAAAAGUUCUGAAUCCAUUCAUCGCUGUUAAUUGCAUAAAAGAUGGUCGAUAAAUUAUUAAGCUUGAAUGCCAGUCAAUGUUCUGUGAGGAGUGAAGACUACUUAAUGGAAGAAAAUGUAGGUAAGUACAUUGUAAGUACGUUGACUACUUUAAUCAAUAAUUUUAUUCCAAAAGAGAUUAUACAUAGGAAACAAAUAUUAUACAUUACAAUAAAACUUAUAAUUAUCUGUGACAAAAUAAUGAAGAACUACAUUUACAAAAUAAUUCCUUAUUUUAAGAUGUGCUUCUCCGACAUGGUAUAUUGGCUAGAUAUCGUUGUCAUUGUUAUUAAAUAGAGCAUUCCAUAUAUAAAAUAUAUCCAUCCUUUUAUAUAUAUAUAUAUAUAUAUAUAUAUA